AUUGAACGCUGGCGGCAGGCCUAACACAUGCAAGUCGAACGAGUGGCGGACGGGUGAGUAAUGUCUGGGAAACUGCCUGAUCGAGGGGGAUGACUACUGUAAACGGUAGCUAAUACCGCAUACGACCCGAUGGGCCCAGAUGGGUUGAGCUUGUUGGUGUGGAAACGGCUCACCAAGGCGACGCUCCCUAGCUGGUCUGAGAGGAUGACCAGCCACACUGGAACUGAGACACGGUCCAGACUCCUACGUGAGGCAGCAGUGGGGAAUAUUGGACAAUGGGCGAAAGCCUGAUGCAGCCACGCCGCGUGAAUGAAGAAGGCCUUCGGGUUGUAAAGUACUGUCAGCGGGGAGGCGUUACCCGCAGAAGAAGCACCGGCUAACUCCGUGCCAGCAGCCGCGGUAAUUC
rnacentral:rRNA from 1 species